rnacentral:lncRNA from 1 species
AAAAGUUCCAAAUUAUCUCCCUUUGGUGGAAAAAUGCCAUUUUUUUGGCUUUAAAAUUGAAAUAUCUUUUUCAACUUAUCGGUGACCUAUCUUUUUUAAUAUAAUUUCCAUAUAAGCUGUACUUAAACUAAAUUAUUGUAAAAUUUGAGAGAUUUCUGUAAUUAAUUUCUUUUUUUAUUUCGAUAUUACCUUUAUUUCUCCUAUUACUUCAACAGAAAAAAAACACCUUUACAAAAAUGUAUGCUUCUUUCGAAGGCAGAUUGUGAGUGCAAAUGAACGGUGACCCCACUUUUUUAUUUUAUUUUUCUAUUAACUAUAAGAUAAAGUUCAUUUAUAGAAAAAUAAAGAAAAAUCCUAUAUAAAUGAUUUAGACCCGCGAACCCCCUUAAGACAUACACAAUGGUACUUUAUGAUAAACUUAAGAAAAAAUGGAUUUGACAGACGUUAUAAUUCAGAUUGCUUGUUGACCUGUAAAAAUAUAGACAAAUUAUAUUUUCUGAGUUAUAACUCAUAAGGGCAGCUUAAAACUCUAGAGACAUAAUUUUCUCGGUUUCAUAUAGCUAUAUCUUUCAAAAGCCAGCAAUAAUGUACAAAGUGAAUAACACAUUUUUUUUUAGUUUAAAAAGGAAUUUAAGAUGAAGGAUGAGAGAAUGAAUAUAUUUUAUGUUCAAAACAUAAUUUGUGUAUGCUAAUUAAACCUAAAUGUGUGAAGGUGAGUUCUAUAACUACACAAUGUGUUGGUGAGUUCUGCUUGUUUGUUUGAUCAUGUUUUCAGUGUAUUGAAUAUUGCACAAAAAAUUAUAUAAAUGGCAAUUGUGUAUGUAUGUAUAUGUACAGAGUUUUGUUAGUUAUCAUUGCAUAUUUUUGUUUUUAGACACUGCGACUUAAAACCAGUUAUAUUUAUGUUUAAUUUGAAUUUAUCACUGUUGCAUUUGGAUUACUUUACUAUGGAUUCUGAGCCAUUCUGACAUUUUCAAGGUGUAUAUACACCAAGAUUUUAAGUGUUCAACAAAAUACAUAUUUUCUCUCAACAUAAUGAAAAAUUUGUCAAAACCCAGAAAUGAAGUGUCCUCAAAAUAAGUUAAUCCACAGUGUAAAUUAAUGCGACCAAAAUGCAUUUUUUGCCCAUAAAAAUCACUUUUUGAUUUAGUGUUAUAUCAACUUAGAUUUCAUCAGUGGUUAACAUUUUUUUUUAAAGUGUUGUUUAUGGUAUAAACAACUUAAUUUCCAAUGCAAGAUUGAUUUCAGUGUGUAUAGC